AAAAAGGUAUUUCCCUAAAGCCUCAAGGUCGGAGGCCGAGUGUUGAGAAAGAUUCUGCCAAUUCACAUUGAUCCUAGGGGAAGAUGGACGCCAAACUAUGAAGGCCCAUAUGUUGUAAGGAAGGUCUUCUCUGGAGGAGCCUUAAUACUUUCAACUAUGGAUGUUGAAGAUCUUCCAUCCCCUGUGAAUGUUGACGUAGUCAAAAAAUACUACGCUUGAAAGAAAA
rnacentral:lncRNA from 1 species